UCUUCAAAUUGUUUUAGCACUAUGUAGUAUCAACUGUUAGUGUCUCGAGUUUGUUGUUUAGAAAACAUUGUUAGAGCUAUCAGUCUUUCUUACAGAAUGCCUACUAUGAGCCAUCCUCCCUGGGGUUAUUCCUAGAUUUACCUGAAGGCCAUGGCACCCAUACUGUGUACACAAAGGACAUGAAGGUCAUUGUCAGCACAGGACGACUCCACACCGUCACAGUCAAUAUGUGUGCGUGUGAACCAGAAACCUGCACUUUGCUAAGGUAUGGGCUCUGGCCAGCAACAGCCGACAAGCCCCAGACAGCCUUCUCCAUCCCUCUGCUAGAGCUUUUUGUUUGUCUGUCACUGGAGAGUCAGGUGUCUGUUGAGGGUUUUUGCAGCACCCUGAGCUGGAAAAAUAACCAGUAAAGUACAGUAAGUCAGUUUGCAGAUGUCAGUUUGAAGUCUCGUCUGUGAAGUGAACAUUUCAGUUACUAUCAUGGAAUACUGACCAUAUAGAAGUGAGAAAUACACCUUCUUUCUUGAUUUUACUACAUUAAUUAUCACAAUUAAAAGUAAACAUUUAUGGAACCAUCUAGGAUUGUACAGUUGCAUGCAAAAGUAUUCUUGAUAUUUUUCUAUAAAAUAACAACUUCUGAGUGAACCACCAUCAUCACCACAUGUUACCAUACGAAAUAGUGUUUUCACUGACUGCUGCUUAUACCGUAGGUUAACACACUCUACAGAGCCCUGGUGGGGGAAUCCAUAUCCCAUUUUAGGCAUCACCACUUCCGACAAAGAAGUUUGGUAGAUAUUUGCCCACAGUUAGAUGAUGGGACCAUAUGCCCAGCAUGUCCAAAGGCAGAUGGAGAUAUGAUUGUGACAUUGGAUGCCAACUUUGGCCUUGUGAGGAAGCAAAGCUCAGGUACACGUGCGGUUGGGCCAUCACAUGGAACCCGCAUGUUUGUUGAUGAAAAGGAUGUAGAGGAACACCUGCUAUCACGUCUUGACAGCUCAAAGCCUCACGAGGACUGCAGUAACUUCAAGGCUGGCAACGUGCUGAGGUCACAAAAACAAGCAAAGAAACCUGGAUGUUACAGGAGUGUUUGGAGCCUCUUGUCGUCAUGAAAUGCCCCUAAUGUUUGUCAACAUGAGCCAAGGAGAACGGCAAGUCUAUGCCACAGUGACAUCUCUGACUAAUGACCCAGAGCUCCAGAAUGAUAAUUCCCCGUUUGAUUCUGCCUGUUCAUAAAAUGCUUAGAAUAGCAUGACCAAAUAUUUUCAGUCACCAAAUAUGAACCUCAUGGAAUGUAUAUGGGAGAUUCCAAAAUAUUACAAAAUUUAAACUUUACCACCAUUCUAUAAUCUUCACUAAUAUAAGAAAACAUGUUUGGAUAAUUUUGAGUGCACUUAUUGAGUAUUAUUAAGGUAUUGAAUUUGAUGCUGGAGAUUGUUUGUAUAAUUCAUUUUUACUUUUCUUCAGUAUAAAGUGUCAUCAAUUAGAUUUUUGUGUUGAAAUAGAUUAGCCUACAUUUGCAUGUAAGUACUUUUUUUCUGUGUAAAACUGAAUUAUUAUUUUGAGAAAAGACCAUGCCACAUUAACUCAAAAUUAUGCCGUACGGUGUUCAAUCAGGAAUCAGGGGAGGGCAUACCACACAACCUGUCCUUGGCCGUGCCAGCAUUUCACGUUUAUGGACACAAAUUGCCCUGCCAGGUAAUUAAUUGACUUUAUAGAGACAUCAGGACCUGUGUCACACAUCAUUCACUCCCUGUUUGGCCUCCAUUUUCCUGUUCAUCAACUGCACAGCUGAAAUUAAGUAGAUAUGCCUAAAAGUAAUCUUUAAUCUAACAUUUCUCCCACCUGGUGUUUGUCUUGUUUCAGAGAUGCACCGUUUAGGAUAAUACAGUAGAAACCGUUUAUCUCACAUCUGUCUGGGUCAACAUAAUCACUAUAAGCAGAUGAUUGUUAUAAAAAAAAUCUUUAGGCUGUGCCUACAAUUCCUCCAAUCGGAAGUGGACCGCACGUAAUCCCAAGGCAAACGGCGAUUAAUUCCGACGCUCCGUCCUUGCGAAGGUAAACAAAGCGGAUCUGUAUGAUCUAAGUUAUUAGUCUCCCAGCAAUCCGCCAAACCUCACUCCUAAAUCCACAACAACAGGGCGGCCAAUAUAUCGGGCAAAACUCGCAAGGCCCCGAACUCGCCUCGCUCGACACCUCCAUUGCCCCGCGGCACAUAAAAACGGGUGUCCUUAAGCGCGGGCUCGCAGCGGCAGGCUUCCAAUGUGCCUGGGCAGCGCCGCCGAUCUCAACGCAGCAAAGCCUCACUGGUUUCCCACUUCAACUCAACCUUUUACCGUGGCUCAUCCGGCCGCAGCGUCAUCGUGCAGCCGGGCCUCAAGCUCUCGCGCUAGCGGCACAGUAAGUGUUGCAAAUACAUUUUUAGGUAAGUCGCUAAAAGAUGUCAUUGGUUGCUGAAAGUUGCUAAAGACGUUGUGACACAAGGAUCUUGAUAUUAUUUUCAGCCACGUCGCAAACGGCACAGAAUACAAAUAAAUUUCUAAGAUUUUCUUAAUUUCGCGAGAAU
ensembl:lncRNA